rnacentral:rRNA from 1 species
UACGUAGAUGGCGAGCGUUAUCCGGAAUGACUGGGCGUAAAGGGUGCGUAGGCGGUUUUGUAAGUCAGAUGUGAAAAUCCCGAGCUUAACUUGGGAACUGCAUUUGAAACUAUAAAACUUGAGUGCAGGAGAGGAAAGCGGAAUUCCUAGUGUAGCGGUGAAAUGCGUAGAUAUUAGGAGGAACACCAGUGGCGAAGGCGGCUUUCUGGACUGUAACUGACGCUGAGGCACGAAAGCAUGGGGAG